CACACACAGACACACGGGCGCCUUAAAGACACACCCCUUCUGCUGAUUUACCUGUGUGUGUGUGUGUGUGUGUGUGUGUGAUCCCAAACGAUCUCUGUAAACACCGGAAAGAGAUAUUUUUCCUCAGAGCAGCCAAAAACAGAAAACGGUUUGAUCCAGCCGGUCAGAUUUCUGACUGAGAUCUGCGUCUGAAGAUGAUCAUCAGCAUCUCGUGAGGAUGUCAUCAGGAUUAAUGAGACGGACGGAGGGCCUUCAGGAAGUUAGUUUUGGGCAGAUGUUCCUCCGGAGCCGCUUUGGGACAGAAGAACGGAGGGACGAAGUCUUGAGGAUUCUGGACACCCAGCAGAUGAUUGUAGAAGCUGUGAGAUCAAAGACCACAGAGAGACGUCAGUGAAGGAUGAAGAUGGAGUGUGUGUGUGUGUGUGUGUGUGAGGAGAUGCUGGACCUGAAGGUGAUCCAUCCGGUCUGAGGAGUGAAGACCAUGGCGCUGACCGGCAGACACGUGAACUCAGUGAAGGUCAGCAUGUACUGUGCUGAAGAACAGACACACGGAGACCUCAGAACAUGCAUACAGUGAUUCAUUCAGCGAUUCAUUCAGUGAUUCAUUCAGCGAUUCAUUCAGCGAUUCAUUCAGUGAUUCAUACAGCGAUUCAUUCAGUGAUUCAUACAGUGAUUCAUUCAGUGAUUCAUACAGCGAUUCAUUCAGCGAUUCAUACAGUAAUUCAUUCAGCGAUUCAUUCAGCGAUUCAUACAGUAAUUCAUUCAGUGAUUCAUUCAGCAAAGACUGAUUCAAAGCAGCUCCACAGUGAUAAACAGGACAUGAACAGUGUUGAGUCAUUUUUAAUGUUGAGUCAUUUUUCAGAUCAAUAACAGCAGCUCAUAUGAUUCUUUUAUCAGGAGUGUGUUUGUAUUUAGUUGUAUUUAGAGUUUUACUAAAUCACUAUACCUAAGCUUGUUUUCACCACAGAAUAAAAAUUGAAGUAUGUAAUUGUGA